GACGAACGCUGGCGGCGUGCUUAACACAUGCAAGUCGAACGGAAAGGCCCUGCUUUUGUGGGGUGCUCGAGUGGCGAACGGGUGAGUAACACGUGAGUAACCUGCCCUUGACUUUGGGAUAACUUCAGGAAACUGGGGCUAAUACCGGAUAGGAGCUCCUGCUGCAUGGUGGGGGUUGGAAAGUUUCGGCGGUUUGGGAUGGACUCGCGGCUUAUCAGCUUGUUGGUGGGGUAGUGGCUUACCAAGGCUUUGACGGGUAGCCGGCCUGAGAGGGUGACCGGCCACAUUGGGACUGAGAGACGGCCCAGACUCCUACGGGAGGCAGCAGUGGGGAAUAUUGCACAAUGGGAGGAAGCCUGAUGCAGCAACGCCGCGUGCGGGAUGACGGCCGUCGGGUUGUAAACCGCUUUCGCCUGUGACGAAGAGUGAGUGACGGUAAUGGGUAAAGAAGCACCGGCUAACUACGU
rnacentral:rRNA from 1 species